ACGCUUAUUACUCCCAACAAAUUCAACUGGAAGUCUUCAAUAAUUUUUUUGUUGCGUGUUUUUUCUUCCAAUGUGCUGAUUGAUAUUGACUUUUUCCUCUAAUAACAUGUAUUAACUAUACCUAAUUUAAAUGUUUUAUUUUCGAUUUAAUUAUGGUGUUAAUGUGCAACCUCAAUUCCUAUGCACAAGUUCAUCCAAUGCACAUGGCUUUUUCCUAUCCAUGGUUACUUUUUCCGUUCACUGUCAAGGUUACUACGUAGUAAAAUGCAACCUUCGAAACUUCAGUCGAUUGCCGCACCUAAUGGUACCAGAUCAGUCUAAUUGAAAGUACCGUUUUGUUUACAUUUUGUUGUCUAUUUUUACACCAACUGAGAUGAUUGUUUAUUUUUAACGCGGAUCGAAUCGCAUUACAUAACUAUUUAGGCGGUCUAGUCAUUAUCUGCUGCUGAUAGUUUUCGACCACAUCCCUAGUCUGGAUAAUCAGAAUGUCUUAAUGUUGAAGGUAUUGAGAGAAAUGGUUGACAAUCGUAGAUUUACAGCGUUUGUAUGCGUUUGGAGAGUAAUUUUCGGUACAAAAAUCUGUGACGGUGUACCAUAGAUGUUAACGAUAAGAAAUACGAGUCAAGCCGCUUUUGACGAAAGUGAUAAUAAUAAUAAUGGCGACAAUAAUAGGGAAUAUGAGGAUGAAUGCAAUGUUCAAAAUGUGAUACCAGAAGAUAAAAAACCAGAGAUCCAAUCUCUUAGAGAAUGGGCAGUACUAUAUUUUUUUCGGUAUUUUUAAUGGUUUUGUAGAUACGUAUUUAAGCUCCUAUAAUACCAUCUUAAUCUUGACCUGAAA